CUUCCCUCUUAUUCUCAAUUGCACUUUCAUAUCAUACAACAAAUGGCCCUCUUUCUCUCUUUCUCUGGAAUGUUUGAGUUUCCAUAUCCAAGGCAUUACUAAGAUUGAAAUGCCCUCACGUGCAACUUCCAUACCAUACAACAAACUGUCCAUCUCGCUAGCUUAGCAAUAAUUGACAUUUACUUCUUCCCUUGAGGUCGGAGGUUUAAAUUUCCGUGACCCAUUUGCUUAUAUGGUCCUCUCGCUCUCUUGGAGGUUUAAAUCUCCGUGACCAAUUUUCUCAUAUGGUCCUCUCGCUCUCUUGGAGGUUUAAAUCUCUGUGACCAAUUUUCUUAUAUGGUCGUUUAAAUCUCCGUGACCCAUUUUCUUAUAUGGUCCUCUCGCUCUCUUGGAGGUUUAGAUCUCCGUGACCCAUUUUCUUAUAUGGUCCUCUUGCUCUCUCGGAGGUUUAGAUCUCCGUGACCCAUUUUCUUAUACGACCCUCUCGCUCUCUCGGAGGUUUAAAUCUCCGUGACCAAUUUUCUCAUAUGGUCCUCUCGCUCUCUCGUAGGUUUAGAUCUCCGUGGCCCAUUUUCUUAUAUGGUCCUCUUGCUCUCUCGGAGGUUUAAAUCUCCGUGACCAAUUUUUUUAUAUGGUCGUUUAAAUCUCCGUGACCAAUUUUCUUAUAUGGUUGUUUAAAUCUCCGUGACCCAUUUUCUUAUAUGGUCCUCUCGCUCUCUCUCGGAGGUUUAAAUCUCUGUGACCAAUUUUCUUAUAUGGUCCUCUCGCUCUAUCGGAGGUUUAUAUCUCCGUGACCUAUUUUCUUAUAUGGUCCUCUCGUUCUCUGGGGAAUGUUGUUUGAAUUUCCAUAUGUAUCAUUAUUAACACUGAAAGAUGUACAAACAGAUCUCACAUUGGGUUCCUU